CUAUACAUGACUCUGUGCAUAUCAAUAAGCGGAGGAAAAGAAACUAACAAGGAUUCCCCUAGUAACGGCGAGUGAAGCGGGAAGAGCUCAAAUUUGAAAUCUUAAAGGGUUUCCCUUUACGAAUUGUAGUUUAAAGAAGUGUUUUCUGUUGAGGUUUUGGUAAAAGUUCUUUGGAAUAGGACAUCAUAGAGGGUGAGAAUCCCGUAUUUGACCUUUACUUUCAACUUUGUGAUACACUUUCAAAGAGUCGGAUUGUUUGGGAAUGCAGUCCAAAAUGGGUGGUAAAUUUCAUCUAAAGCUAAAUAUUGGCGAGAGACCGAUAGCGAACAAGUACCGUGAGGGAAAGAUGAAAAGAACUUUGAAAAGAGAGUUAAACAGUACGUGAAAUUGUCAAAAGGGAAGCGUUUGACACCAGUGUUGUUUUUCUGAAAAUCAAUUAAAGAACUGUUUAUGCUAAGUUGUUUAGACUUUAUCAGCUAUCUGUUUAGUUUUGAGCUUUUCUUUAAUGCACUUUUCAGUUAACAAGUCAACAUCAAUUUCUUUUGCUGUAAAAAAGCUUGUAGGAGGGUGGCUUGAGAUUCGUCUUAAGUGUUUAUAGCCUCUUGCCUAUGCAGUCGGAGAGAUUGAGGUCUGCAGCGUAGAUCCUUCGGGGCUAAAUGCAUUUGUGCUAAGUUAUAGCAUUUUAUAGACAACUUGUUGACUAUGAUUUGUCUUGUAGCUUACUCGCUUAUGUUAUUUUACCUACGCUUAGGAUGUUGAUCUACAGAGCGAGAGU
rnacentral:rRNA from 1 species